rnacentral:rRNA from 1 species
UGAGUACGAGACACUACGGUGUCGAAGCAGUCUAUGUCAUACUUCCAAGAAAAGCUUGCACUGUCAUAAACAAAUAAUGCCUGUACCAUAACCGACACAGGUGGGUAGGUAGAGUAUACUAAGGGGCGCGAGAUAACUCUCUCUAAGGAACUCGGCAAAAUGACUCCGUAACUUCGGGAGAAGGAGUGCCUUAUAUUUUAUAAGGUUGCAAUAACAAGAUCCAAGCAACUGUUUACCAAAAACACAGGUCUCCGCUAAGUCGUAAGACGAUGUAUGGGGGCUGACGCCUGCCCAGUGCCAGAAGGUUAAAGAAGUUGGUUAGUAUUUGCGAAGCUGAUAACUGAAGCCCUGGUGAACGGCGGCCGUAACCAUAACGGUCCUAAGGUAGCGAAAUUCCUUGUCGGGUAAGUUCCGACCCGCACGAAAGGCGUAAUGAUUUGGAUACUGUCUCGGAGAGGGACUCGGUGAAAUAGACUUGUCUGUGAAGAUGCGGACUACUUGCACCAGGACAGAAAGACCCUAUGAAGCUUUACUGUAACUUGAAAUUGAAAUUGGACUUUACUUGCGCAGUAUAGGUGGGAGGCUUUGAGAAUAUUCUUGCGGGAAUAUUGGAGCCAUUAGUGAGAUACCACUCUGGUAAUGUUAGAUUUCUAACUUUGUAUCAUUAUCUGGUCAAAGAACAGUUUCAGGCGGGCAGUUUGACUGGGGCGGUCGCCUCCUAAACGGUAACGGAGGCGCACAAAGGUUUCCUCUGAACGGGUAGAAAUCGUAUCUAGAGUGUAAAGGCAUAAGGAAGCUUGACUGUGAGACCUACAAGUCGAGCAGGGACGAAAGUCGGUCUUAGUGAUCUGACGGUGCUGAGUGGAAAGGCCGUCACUCAACGGAUAAAAGUUACUCUAGGAUAACAGGCUGAUCUCCCCCAAGAGUUCACAUCGACGGGGAGGUUUGGCACCUCGAUGUCGGCUCAUCGCAUCCUGGGGCGGUAGUACGUCCCAAGGGUUGGGCUGUUCGCCCAUGAAAGCGGUACGCGAGCUGGGUUCAGAACGUCGUGAGACAGUUCGGUCCAUAUCCGGUGUAAGCGUUAGAAUAUUGAGAGGAGCCUUCUUUAGUACGAGAGGACCGAGAAGGAUGCACCGCUGGUGUACCAGUUAUUGUGCCAACAGUAAACGCUGGGUAGCUAUGUGUGGAGUGGAUAACCGCUGAAAGCAUCUAAGUGGGAAGCCCACCUCAAGAUAAGUAUUCUUAUCACGUAAGUGAAUAAGGUCACGGUAAGACUAACCGUUUGAUAGGCAUUAAGUGUAAAUCUAGUAAUAGACGAGCUGAGAUGUACUAACAGACCGAAGACUUG